AUAUAAACAAUAAUAGGAUUGACUAGUUAAUCAAGGAACAUGUCCUUGAGAUAGAUGAUUGUGAAUUAUUGCCAACCUGCGAAUCCUGUCUACUUGAUAAAAUUACUAAGUCACCUUUUAAGAGAAAAGGUGAAAGAGCCAGUGAUGUCCUAGAUCUAAUACAUACUGAUAUAUACGGAUCUAUGAACAUAAGUGCCAG
rnacentral:lncRNA from 1 species